rnacentral:rRNA from 1 species
CCUACGGGAGGCAGCAGUGAGGAAUAUUGGUCAAUGGCCGCAGGGCUGAACCAGCCAAGUCGCGUGAGGGAUGACGGUCCUAUGGAUUGUAAACCUCUUUUGUCAGGGAGCAAAGGGCGCCACGUGUGGCGCUUUGCGAGUACCUGAAGAAAAAGCAUCGGCUAACUCCGUGCCAGCAGCCGCGGUAAUACGGAGGAUGCGAGCGUUAUCCGGAUUUAUUGGGUUUAAAGGGUGCGCAGGCGGAAUGUCAAGUCAGCGGUAAAAUUUCGGGGCUCAACCCCGUCGUGCCGUUGAAACUGGCAGUCUUGAGUACAGUAGAGGUGGGCGGAAUUCGUGGUGUAGCGGUGAAAUGCUUAGAUAGCACGAAGAACUCCGAUUGCGAAGGCGGAUUGCUGGACAGUAACUGACGCUGAGGCGCGAAAGCGUGGGGAGCAAACAGGAUUAGAUACCCGUGUAGUC